CCUACGGGUGGCAGCAGUGAGGAAUAUUGGUCAAUGGACGAGAGUCUGAACCAGCCAAGUAGCGUGAAGGAUGACUGCCCUAUGGGUUGUAAACUUCUUUUAUAUGGGAAUAAAAUGUUCCACGUGUGGGAUUUUGUAUGUACCAUAUGAAUAAGGAUCGGCUAACUCCGUGCCAGCAGCCGCGGUAAUACGGAGGAUCCGAGCGUUAUCCGGAUUUAUGGGGUUUAAAGGGAGCGUAGGUGGAUUGUUAAGUCAGUUGUGAAAGUUUGCGGCGUAACCGUAAAAUUGCAGUUGAAACUGGCAGUCUUGAGUACAGGAGAGGUGGGCGGAAUUCGUGGUGUAGCGGUGAAAUGCUUAGAUAUCACGAAGAACUCCGAUUGCGAAGGCAGCUCACUGGACUGCAACUGACACUGAGGCUCGAAAGUGUGGGGAGCAAACAGGAUUAGAUACCCUUGUAGUC
rnacentral:rRNA from 1 species